rnacentral:rRNA from 1 species
AAUGAACGUUGGCGGCGUGGAUUAGGCAUGCAAGUCGAGCGAGAACCCCGCAAGGGGGGACAGCGGCGAAAGGGACAGUAAUGUGUAGAUUAUCUGCCCUCAGGUCCGGGAUAGCUGCGGGAAACUGCAGGUAAUACCGGAUAACAUCUCCGGAUCAAAGGUGUGAUUCCGCCUGAGGAUGAGUCUGCAUCCUAUUAGCUAGUUGGUGGGGUAAUGGCCUACCAAGGCAUUGAUGGGUAGCAGGUGUGAGAGCACGACCUGCGUCAUUGGGACUGAGACACUGCCCAGACACCUACGGGUGGCUGCAGUCGAGAGUCUUCGGCAAUGGGCGCAAGCCUGACCGAGCGACGCCGCGUGUGGGGUGAAGGCCUUCGGGUUGUAAACCACUGUCAGAGGGGAUGAAAUGCAGGUGGGUUCUCCCAUCUGUUUGACAUAGCCUCAGAGGAAGGACGGGCUAAGUUCGUG